rnacentral:rRNA from 1 species
UACGUAGGGUGCAAGCGUUGUCCGGAAUUAUUGGGCGUAAAGAGCUCGUAGGCGGUCUGUCGCGUCUGCUGUGAAAACUCGGGGCUUAACCCUGGACCUGCAGUGGGUACGGGCAGACUGGAGUGCGGUAGGGGAGAUCGGAAUUCCUGGUGUAGCGGUGAAAUGCGCAGAUAUCAGGAGGAACACCGGUGGCGAAGGCGGAUCUCUGGGCCGUAACUGACGCUGAGGAGUGAAAGCAUGGGGAGCGAACAGG